rnacentral:lncRNA from 1 species
GUGACAUUGACAUUUGAUAGACGUCAAGUUUUAUUUUUGUUUGUAUAAAAAUAGAAAUGGAAUAUUUAUAUUGUUUGUAUGUUAUUAUUAUUUAAUUUCUACAAAAUGGUAAUGUGUUAAGUACCCGAAUGGUUAUCAUUGAUAUUGAAAUCUGCAGAACGGAGUAAAACUACUCAUUUAUGUUCCUGGUUCCUGCUACUUUUAUAAAGGAGAUAAAGAAAAUCUUCUCACCAUAUUUUCAAAUAGGACUGGUGAAGAUGCUGAAGAAAUGCAGUAGUACUAUCUUGUGUGUAAAUCCUUGAUUUUGUGUAAUUUAUAAAAUUGAAAGCAAUAUGAUAAAUAUGACUAAUAAGGAUUGUUUCUUUAUAAAAAAAUAUAUCACAGGUACAAUUAUAA